rnacentral:rRNA from 1 species
GGAGCUUGCUCCAGGCGUCGAGCGGCGGACGGGUGAGUAAUGCAUAGGAAUCUGCCCGGUAGUGGGGGAUAACCUGGGGAAACCCAGGCUAAUACCGCAUACGUCCUACGGGAGAAAGCAGGGGAUCCGUGUUCUUCGGAAUGGGGACCUUGCGCUAUCGGAUGAGCCUAUGUCGGAUUAGCUGGUUGGUGAGGUAAUGGCUCACCAAGGCGACGAUCCGUAGCUGGUCUGAGAGGAUGAUCAGCCACAUCGGGACUGAGACACGGCCCGAACUCCUACGGGAGGCAGCAGUGGGGAAUAUUGGACAAUGGGCGCAAGCCUGAUCCAGCCAUGCCGCGUGUGUGAAGAAGGCUUUCGGGUUGUAAAGCACUUUCAGUGAGGAAGAAGGCCUUGGGGCCAAUACCCCCGAGGAAGGACAUCACUCACAGAAGAAGCACCGGCUAACUCCGUGCCAGCAGCCGCGGUAAUACGGAGGGUGCGAGCGUUAAUCGGAAUUACUGGGCGUAAAGCGCGCGUAGGUGGCGUGAUAAGCCGGUUGUGAAAGCCCCGGGCUCAACCUGGGAACGGCAUCCGGAACUGUCAGGCUAGAGUGCAGGAGAGGAAGGUAGAAUUCCCGGUGUAGCGGUGAAAUGCGUAGAGAUCGGGAGGAAUACCAGUGGCGAAGGCGGCCUUCUGGACUGACACUGACACUGAGGUGCGAAAGCGUGGGUAGCAAAC